UGUGGGGCUGUGUUUAAUAAAAAGCAAUAUUACACUAUGUCCCUUUCCUAUGCUUAUUUCCUAUGAUUAAACCCUGCCCUUGAUCAUCCAUCCACUCCACUGAGACGCUGAUAACGGGAGGAAAGAGAUUCUUAGAGUUAUCCAGGAUACAGCCAAGGCACUCCAUUUGAAGGAUCCCAGCAGGAUUAUAGGAGUUCUCAAGGCUGAUUACACCAUAGGCAUCUGGCCCAUAUUUUGUAGCUGGUGAGAUGACGUCAAGGCUGAAGUAUGGCAACACUGCUGUUUGAGAGUCAUCUGAAAGCUAAAGUACAAUAUCUUGGUAUAAGGAUAUCUUCAAGAACAUUCCUCCAGACACUUAAAGGAAAUGCAAGAUUACUGAUAUACUGGGAAGAAAUUGAUGUGCAGGUGGCACAUGAGAGCAAUAGGUCUUGUACCACAAAGCUUUGAAAGGACUUUGAUGUGAAGCAAAUUACAGUGUCUACAGCGAGCCUGCAGUAAACAUGGCUGGAACAAGAACAUAAGGUCAUUUAACCAACAGAACUCCUGAGGAUGUUCAACUGUCCACUCACACCUGGCCAGCAUGGUACCUGAAGGCUGAUGAAUUAGAUGGACAUGCUGUGAUAUCUACUCAAAGGAUCUGAAAGUUGAGCCUGGAGAGGAACAAACUUCUUAUGACCUUGAGUUCAAUAGUCUUCAAUGGCUGUGAAAACCCUCCCAGCUGGGGUGUGGGUCUCAAGUCUGAAUCUCUGCCCAGGGUCCCUUUUAUCCAAAAAGAAUGUGUUACACCUGUAAGACCCUUUUCUUUCCCUGUUAUCCCAUAUUCCCUCUCUAUUACUGUAAUGUAUUGAUAGCCCUAUUGUAAGUACAACCCUUAUUCUAAGAAUUGGUCAUCCUUUUAUUGGAAGACAGACACCCCAUACAAAGCACAUUUUACAAUUAAUAGUUUACAAAUG